rnacentral:rRNA from 1 species
CGUAGGCGGUCUUUUAAGUCAGGUGUGAAAGCCCGGGGCUCAACCCCGGAAGUGCACUUGAAACUAAGGGACUUGAGUAUGGGAGAGGGAAGUGGAAUUCCUGGUGUAGCGGUGAAAUGCGUAGAUAUCAGGAGGAACACCGGUGGCGAAGGCGACUUCCUGGACCAAUACUGACGCUGAGGCGCGAAGGCGUGGGGAGCAAACA